rnacentral:rRNA from 1 species
UACGAAGGGGGCUAGCGUUGCUCGGAAUCACUGGGCGUAAAGCGCACGUAGGCGGAUGUGCCAGUCAGGGGUGAAAUCCCGGAGCCCAACUUCGGAACUGCCUCUGAUACAGCACGUCUUGAGUCCGGAAGAGGUGGGUGGAAUUCCUAGUGUAGAGGUGAAAUUCGUAGAUAUUAGGAAGAACACCGGUGGCGAAGGCGGCCCACUGGUCCGGUACUGACGCUGAGGUGCGAAAGCGUGGGGAGCAAACAGG